UGCCCCAAUUUUUUAUUUUUCUUUUCUUUUGUUUUUGGUUUCAAUCGAUCUAGGUUAAGCAAGUUUUGCAAGGAUUUCUCACUUGAUUUAGAUUUUUAUUCACAAGGUUCUGAAGAUUUUCUUUUGGAUCAGCAGUUCUUCCGAUGAAGUGAGAGCUUCGUUACUUUUUUUCCUUCUUUGUGAAGUUGUUGCUCUUCUGGUCCUCGGUGUUCUCCGAUUCCGGCUUCUUUCUUCAGUGGAGUGAGAGCUUGGAACCCUAGGAUCGUUAGAUCGGACGGCGGAUCGGCCCAGAAAAUAGAGUUGAGAACCGUUUCUUGGAUAGGAGAGGUGGAAGCUCCUGGAAUUAGCUGGAUCUCUCUCAUUGCCGAAAGCAAUUCCAUUUACUUGGAUCUUAAAUAAGAUUAUCAUCUACCUCAUGUUUGUGAAUCUGCACUGUAAUACUAAUUUGGUAAAAGAUGCCUUUCAUGAUUUUCAAAAGCUUUGGAUUAUAUUGACAAAAUUGUCCUUGUCUUUUCUCCAGGAUGCUUACGGGUACCAUUUAUGGAUUACUGAUGUUUGUCUUUGCUUGUUAAAUUAGAUAGAGAUUGUACCAAUAAGCUGCAACCUUACUUCAGUGAAGCGUGUCCUUUGCAGGCAAAAAUUUUCAAGGUGAAAUUGUUGUUAACAUUGAAAGACUACUCAAGUGCUAUUUCACUAUUUCAGCGACUGGAUACAUACUUAAACAAGAUGAAGAUAAUUUGGAGGCACUACUGCUUCGUGGCCAUUCUUAUUAUUAUCUCUCAGACCAUGAUGUUGCUACAUGGUUUGACUUAUGAAAAUUCCUAUACAGAAUUACAGAUAUAUGUAAAAGGUUUCAAACCUUGUGUCAUAUGUGUACUCUUUUGCACUUUGCUGCAAUGAUGUUCUCCUUUUAUUUAAGCUGCAGUUAUUAGCUCAACUCUGCAGAUUAUCACUUCCAAACAUUUGCAAUGUCUAA